UAGCCCCCCAGGAAGCAGCCCCCAGGGGUGGGGGGUCGGGGCCUGCUAGCUGGCUGCCAUGGCAACAGCACCGAGGCAUUCCAGGCCCCAAGUGGCCUCUCCAUCUCCAUUGAACCCAUAGCCCUAGAGGGGCUGGGAAGAAGGGGCUCAAAGCCCCUUCUCCUUCUGUACCCCCAGGAGCAUGGCAGGAGGCUGAAUGACAAGGGACAGUCGUGUGGUCACAACGAACUUAGGGUUUUAGAGCUGAGAGGGCCCUCAAGAGUCAUUUAGGCCAGUCCAUCCAUUUUACAGAUGAGGAAACUGAGGCAAUGAGAGAGAGAGAGAGAGAGAGAGAGAGAGAGAGAGAGAGAGAGAGAGAGAGAGAGAGAGAGAGAGAGGGUAGGGUGAGGGGAUGGCCUUAUUCAACAUACAUUGGAAGGCCUGGAAUUCAAAUCUAAUCACAGCCAAACCUUCUCCCUCCAAACAUGGUCCCCCUCAUCCUGGCAGGCCAAAGCUGGCAUAAACAUCCCCCAGCGCAGAACAGAUUACAGAAGACAAGUAGAAAGGAAUACUAGUGUGCUGAGAGAAGGGAUGGAGGGGAUGGUUCAGAGAAAACUGGGAAAACUUGAGUGAACUGACUCCAAGCGAACCGAGCAGAACCAGACAACACAGGUAAUAACAGCACAGCCCACGUCUGCGCCUUCAAAAGCCUCCAACCUUCCCCUCACAGGAGGACCCUCUGAUCCCAGAGGACCAACCAUGAACAAUGCACAAGCUGACGACUCGAUUCAGGGGCAGAAUCACACUGAGAGAGUUUUGGAAACCAGCCAAUUAACAGCUCUAAGAUGGAGGGCCAAGCGAGGGGCAAAAGGGGGUUCAAUGUCACAGAGCUAGGGAGGCCACAUCGGAACCCAAGGCUUCCUGACACCAGGCCUGGCCCACUCUCCGUGGAGCCACCCAGCUACCUCUAGAAGAAAGUGCAGCAUAAAAUACACGGGAAUUCAAAGGGAAGCAAAGCACACAUUUAAAGACAGGAUUCUGAGAUGAGGGUCAAAGGCAUCACCAAACUGCUAAAUUGGUCCACAACACCCACAAAAAUUAAGGACCUCGGGUCUAGACUAAGGCUGAGUGAUGGGUAAAGAGAUUUAACAGAAAGAAUUCUAAAAAUCCGGAGAAGUGGGCUCUCUCCUCCAGCUGCUGAGCAAAUCUUUUCCCUCAGUUUCCUCCUCUGUAAAAUGAAGCCAUUGUAUCCACAGAGAUGAGAGAAAGAGGAAACACACCCAUAUGUACAAGCAGCUCUUUUUGGGGUGGUAAAAAAGGAGAAACUAACUUUUCUUGGAGAAGGGGAUGGAAUCACGAUUGUGUUGUAAAGAAAUGAUGAAAGAGUUCAAAGAAAUCUGGGGAGGCGUGUCUGAAAAGUGAAUAAGCUGAAGCAGGAGAACAAUGUAUACAGUUACAACAUCCCUGUAGAACUGAAUUCAGAUUGACACAAUGUCCAACAAGGAUUCCAGAGGACCAGAGAUGAAAUGUGCCACCCAUCUCCUGAUAGAAGCAAAGGGCUCGGGGGAUAGCAUGAGAUGUCUAUUUUUGGACCUGGAUAAUACGGGAAUUUGUUUUGACUAUUCAGACUUGUUUCAAGAAGUUUGUUUUUGUUAUUUUUUUCCCAAUGGGGAGGGGCAAUACGUUUUAUUAUUUUAUUCAUUACUUUUAAAAAAUAAAGGGAAGGAAUUUGAUGAAUUAACAUCUUGGGCUUUUUCCAGUUCUAAAUUUAUAUUCCUAUUUCAGAACCAGCCAUGACAAGGCACUUCCCCUAAAAUGUACUCAUCUCAGAAGUCUAAAAUACAGUCUUUUGGAGAAGUCUAAGGCUAAAUGAGUUGGUUAAUUGACCUAAGCUGUUGCUGCUGCUUUUUUUUUUUAAUCUUUACCUUUUGUCUUAAUAUCUAAUUUCAAGUCAGAGGAGCCAUAAGAGGAAGGCAACUAAGGUUAAGUGACUUUCCCAGGGACACACAGAAAGUGUCCAAAGUUCUCUCAAUUCCACUGUACUAACCCCAAUCUAACUUCUUCAAUUUUUUUUCCCUAGAAAUUUUAAAUUUUCUUAGGCCACGGAAGAAGGAAAAUCACUCUCCAAGAAGACCUCCUUUUAUUGGCCAAGUGAUAAUAGCCAGAAAUUCUCUCUCUGUAAGGCUGAUUUCUCCUAUGGGAAAACUUUAUAGGAUUAUAAGAUUUAAACUGGAAGGGACUUUUAGAGAUCAUCUUGUCAAAACACCUCUUUUUACAAAUGGGGAAACCGAGGCCCUGGAGAUGUGCUGUAACUUUCCCUAAGUGAUGAGGAGCAGAACUGGAACUCAGGUCUCUGGACUCUAAAUUCCAGUGUCCUUUCCACUUUUUACUCACCAUUUUCCUUUGCCUUUCUUCCAAAUACUGGGGGCAAAGGGGAAGAGAUAGAAAGUGUGAACUAGAGAUCAAAGAAGGGUCCUAUGGCCCCUUGACCACCCUAGAGGUGCUGCACCUACAUCUCAGCAUCUGAGACGACUCCACAGCCCCCUAAAGACACACCACAUCAGCACUCUGCAGGUGUUCAAUACAGAGCAGGUUUAGGGUUUGUUUUUUAAAACCCUUAACUUCCCUUAUGGAACUGAUACCAAGUAUCAGUUCUAAGGCAGAGAAGCAAUAUGGGCUAGGCAUUGGGGGGUCAAAUGACUUGCCCAGGGUCACACAGCUAGAAAGUGAGGUCAGAUUUUAAUCCAGAACCCGUCUCCAGGUCUGGCUUUCUACCACUGAGCCACCUAGCUGCCCCCAUGACCUUGUCUUUAAGAACUAUUUAAAAAACCAUAUUUCAAUAUAAUUAUUCCCUUGGCCAUCCUACGGAUUUAUUUUAUUUAUAUGCCUUUUUAUUUUAUUAUUUUAUUUAUAUUAUAAGCCUUUUUGUUUUACUUUAUCAUUUAAUUUAUUUAUAUUGACAUGUCUUUUCAUUUAAUGAAUUAAUUUACUUAAUAUGCCUUUCUUGUAUCUGUACUGUAUGCCUUUAAAGACCUACUUCUAGAAGGUGGCCUGCCGAAGGGGACCCUACCAGGAACACUGAAGAACCCCCGAUGUAGGGGGCCUGGCCUGGGGGCUCUGGGCUGUUUCAGACUAAGCUGCCAGGUCCCCCCUUCCAGCAGCCAUCCUCGGGGCCCUGGAGAACCUGGCUUGCUUUUCUGUUCUCAGCAAUCUAAAAAAUGCUUCAGCAGGUCCCGACAUGCCUGUCCCACCACAUGCUGCCUAAGCCCUGCUGCAGCCAGUGCUGGGCUGGUGGGCAGGGGGAGGGCGCUCCGAUCGGCCCACCCUCAGGGACCCCCCCCCAUUCUGGGACAAAAAGCCAGCCUCUAGGCAGUCUCUUGGACCCCAGCCUCCCGGAAGCCCCGUGCUUGCGGGCUCUCUGAAUUCUUCAGGAGGGGACACUGAGGCUGGGAGGGAGAGAGCGGGUCAACAAGUACUAAGCAUUUAUUCCACUGCAAGGCAGAAAGAGCCCCAGUUCCAAGCAGGAAGGCGAUAAAGUGCCGACUCUGCCCAGGCCCCAGGCAGGAGGAGGGGAGUGAGUCUAUCAUUAAGGGGGCUCAGACAGACUUCUGCAGGAGGAGGGGAGCCGGGAGACAGAGGGGAGAGGAGGAGGGACCUGGAGAAGCCUAGAAGGUCAAAGAAGGAAGCCUGGCCAGCUUCAAAUCCAACUCCCCCAUUUUACAGGGGGGGGGAAACUAAGGCCCAAACAGGUAAGUUUCCUAAUAAGUCAGGUGGAAAAAGCAAAGGGCCAAGGGGUCCUGUUUCCUCACACACUCUUUGCUGCCCUGGGGCCACAAAAUAGUGUUUUUGGAGUUCAGCUCCUGGCUUGGCCAUUUUUAAGCUGGGGGCCCCAGGCCCAGGGGUUUCCUGACUCAUCUUGGGGGCUCCAUUGAGUCCAUCUGUAAAAUGGGGGGGAGCCCAGAUGCUCCCUCGGGUCCCCCUUAGCUCAGUCUCCCAUCACAUUAGCAGAGUGGAGGCAGCCAUCACCUCGUCCGGGGAAUCAGGGUCUCUGGGGAGUGGCCGAUCCCUGUGGGAGCUGGGGUGCAGUCAGAGGGGUGCUACCCUGGGGGGGGGUUCUCUCAGAACCAAGCCAGAGCUCCUUGGGCAAUUUUACCCAGAAUACAAGAGCCCAGCAGCAGAGACAGGUCGGGGAAAUAACAAGACAAGUUAAUCCUGGGACUUUUUAAAAGAUUUCUGAGAAAGGGACACUGAGAGGCAGAGGCCAAAGCCCUAGACAGGGCUGGAGGGGCACUUGGGGGGAUGAGACAAAACAAGGAGGAUCCUGGAUCUGUGGACAUAGCUGGGGAACCAGAAAGAGGAAUCCAAAAGGGGAAAUAGGAGAUGUGGGCAAGGGGGAGGGGUAUCUGCACCAGGAA